UACGUAGGGGGCGAGCGUUGUCCGGAAUUAUUGGGCGUAAAGAGCGUGUAGGCGGCCAUGUAGGUCCGUUGUGAAAACUCGAGGCUCAACCUCGAGACGCCGAUGGAAACCAUGUGGCUAGAGUCCGGAAGAGGAGAGUGGAAUUCCUGGUGUAGCGGUGAAAUGCGCAGAUAUCAGGAAGAACACCCGUGGCUAAGGCGGCUCUCUAGUACGGUACUGACGCUGAGACGCGAAAGCGUGGGGAGCGAACAGG
rnacentral:rRNA from 1 species